UCCACGCCAUGAUGCCGUGAACCUGCUUUG
rnacentral:piRNA from 1 species